rnacentral:rRNA from 1 species
CAGUCGAACGGAGCACCCCUGAAAGAGUUUUCGGACAAUGGAAGGGAAUGCUUAGUGGCGGACUGGUGAGUAACGCGUGAGGAACCUGCCUUCCAGAGGGGGACAACAGUUGGAAACGACUGCUAAUACCGCAUGAUGUGUUUCGAUGGCAUCAUCGAGACACCAAAGAUUUAUCGCUGGAAGAUGGCCUCGCGUCUGAUUAGCUAGUAGGCGGGGUAACGGCCCACCUAGGCGACGAUCAGUAGCCGGACUGAGAGGUUGACCGGCCACAUUGGGACUGAGAUACGGCCCAGACUCCUACGGGAGGCAGCAGUGGGGAAUAUUGGGCAAUGGGCGCAAGCCUGACCCAGCAACGCCGCGUGAAGGAAGAAGGCUUUCGGGUUGUAAACUUCUUUUAAGAGGGAAGAGCAGAAGACGGUACCUCUUGAAUAAGCCACGGCUAACUACGUGCCAGCAGCCGCGGUAAUACGUAGGGAGCGAGCGUUGUCCGGAAUUACUGGGUGUAAAGGGAGUGUAGGCGGGAUGGUAAGUUAG